rnacentral:miRNA from 1 species
UCCAGGCCUCUUGCUCUCUCA